rnacentral:rRNA from 1 species
AUUGAACGCUGGCGGCAUGCCUUACACAUGCAAGUCGAACGGCAGCACGGGAGCAAUCCUGGUGGCGAGUGGCGAACGGGUGAGUAAUAUAUCGGAACGUGCCCGGUCGUGGGGAUAACGUAGCGAAAGCUACGCUAAUACCGCAUACGAUCUACGGAUGAAAGCGGGGGAUCGCAAGACCUCGCGCGAUUGGAGCGGCCGAUAUCAGAUUAGGUAGUUGGUGAGGUAAAGGCUCACCAAGCCGACGAUCUGUAGCUGGUCUGAGAGGACGACCAGCCACACUGGGACUGAGACACGGCCCAGACUCCUACGGGAGGCAGCAGUGGGGAAUUUUGGACAAUGGGCGCAAGCCCGAUCCAGCAAUGCCGCGUGCAGGAUGAAGGCCUCGGUUG